GGCGGACGGGUGAGUAACACGUGGAUAACCUACCUAUAAGACUGGGAUAACUUCGGGAAACCGGAGCUAAUACCGGAUAACAUAUUGAACCGCAAGGUUCAAUAGUGAAAGGCGGCUUUGCUGUCACUUAUAGAUGGAUCCGCGCCGUAUUAGCUAGUUGGUAAGGUAACGGCUUACCAAGGCAACGAUACGUAGCCGACCUGAGAGGGUGAUCGGCCACACUGGAACUGAGACACGGUCCAGACUCCUACGGGAGGCAGCAGUAGGGAAUCUUCCGCAAUGGGCGAAAGCCUGACGGAGCAACGCCGCGUGAGUGAUGAAGGUCUUCGGAUCGUAAAACUCUGUUAUCAGGGAAGAACAAAUGUGUAAGUAACUGUGCACAUCUUGACGGUACCUGAUCAGAAAGCCACGGCUAACUACGUGCC
rnacentral:rRNA from 1 species